rnacentral:lncRNA from 1 species
GAAGAUAAUGGUCUACUUUCAUUCUUUUGCAACUCACUGUCUAGUUAUCCCAAAACCAUUUAUUGAAGAGACUUUCCUUUCUCUUUUGUAUGUUCUUGGCUUCUUUGUCAAAGACUAGCUUCCCAUAACUGUGUAGUUUUACUUCUGGACUCUCAGUUCUGUUCCAUUGAUCUCUGUGUUUUUCUGCUAGCAUCAUGCAGUUUUGAUUACUAUAGCUUUGUACUAUAAUUUGAAUUCAGGGAGUGUUAUACCUCCAACUUUGUUCUUUUUUCUCAGGAUUGCUUUGGCUAUUCAAGAUCUUUUCUUGUUCAAUAUAAAUUUUAGGAUUCUUUGUUCUAUUUCCAUGAGAAUGUCAUUGGGAUUCUGAUUGAGAUUGCACUGAAAGAAAUCAUCAACAAAAUAAAAAGACAACCCAACUUGGAGGAAAUAUUUGCAAAUCCUAUAGCCAAUAAGGGUUAAUAUCCAAAAUAUAUGAACAAUUCAUACAACUCAACAACAACAAAAAACCAAGCCAUGGGGCUGUCCCCACAAAGCUCUUUUUGUUCACCACUUUCCACCUACAAGAAGGCCUGCUACAGAGUAAAGAAAUGUGGCUUGGAGGUUGUUAAAGACUUUCCCAAGAUUGAAGAACUACUACUGAGUGGAAUCAAGAUUUGACUGCAGGUACCAUUUCAAUUCUGUAAUUAUGCACAUCUACUUAUGUCAGACAUGUUGGCUCUAACCUGGGUUUGUGCUCUUAGGUUUGUGAUUAGCUGUUAGCUCAGUUGAGAGCUGGAUGAUGAAGAAUGGAUCCACUAACAUGUCUGGGGGACAGCUUGUUGUCAGCUGGGGUCACAAAGAGAACACAGGCAGAUGUCUCAUUAUUCAGCAAGCUAACUAAGGCUCAUUUACAUUGUGGUAGCAGGAUUUGAAAAGUGAGAAGAGAAGUUUGCAAAGCCUCUUGAGACCCAGACUUUCGCAUCUGCAUAGCACUGUCUGUGCUGUAAACUAUUGGCCACGACAAAC